rnacentral:rRNA from 1 species
GAUGAACGCUGGCGGCGUGCCUAAUACAUGCAAGUCGAGCGAACAGACGAGGAGCUUGCUCCUCUGACGUUAGCGGCGGACGGGUGAGUAACACGUGGAUAACCUACCUAUAAGACUGGGAUAACUUCGGGAAACCGGAGCUAAUACCGGAUAAUAUAUUGAACCGCAUGGUUCAAUAGUGAAAGACGGUUUUGCGGUCACUUAUAGAUGGAUCCGCGCCGCAUUAGCUAGUUGGUAAGGUAACGGCUUACCAAGGCAAGGAUGCGUAGCCGACCUGAGAGGGUGUUCGGCCACACUGGAACUGAGACGCGGUCCAGACUCCUACGGGAGGCAGCAGUAGGGAAUCUUCCGCAAUGGGCGAAAGCCUGACGGAGCAACGCCGCGUGAGUGAUGAAGGUCUUCGGAUCGUAAAACUCUGUUAUUAGGGAAGAACAAAUGUGUAAGUAACUAUGCACGUCUUGACGGUACCUAAUCAGAAAGCCACGGCUAACUACGUG